rnacentral:rRNA from 1 species
AGGGGGGAAGACUAUAAUGCAGUCGAACGGUAACAGGAAUCAGCUUGCUGCUUUGCUGACGAGUGGCGGACGGGUGAGUAAUGUCUGGGAAACUGCCUGAUGGAGGGGGAUAACUACUGGAAACGGUAGCUAAUACCGCAUAACGUCGCAAGACCAAAGAGGGGGACCUUCGGGCCUCUUGCCAUCGGAUGUGCCCAGAUGGGAUUAGCUAGUAGGUGGGGUAAAGGCUCACCUAGGCGACGAUCCCUAGCUGGUCUGAGAGGAUGACCAGCCACACUGGAACUGAGACACGGUCCAGACUCCUACGGGAGGCAGCAGUGGGGAAUAUUGCACAAUGGGCGCAAGCCUGAUGCAGCCAUGCCGCGUGUAUGAAGAAGGCCUUCGGGUUGUAAAGUACUUUCAGCGGGGAGGAAGGGAGUAAAGUUAAUACCUUUGCUCAUUGACGUUACCCGCAGAAGAAGCACCGGCUAACUCCGUGCCAGCAGCCGCGGUAAUACGGAGGGUGCAAGCGUUAAUCGGAAUUACUGGGCGUAAAGCGCACGCAGGCGGUUUGUUAAGUCAGAUGUGAAAUCCCCGGGCUCAACCUGGGAACUGCAUCUG